rnacentral:tRNA from 1 species
AAUCAAUGAACUUGUACAAGUAUAUAUUUUGAAAAUAUAAAAAAGAAUAGAAAAUUCUAUUGAUUU